AGGGUUCGAUUCUGGCUCAGGAUGAACGCUAGCUACAGGCUUAACACAUGCAAGUCGAGGGGCAGCAGAUCGAUAGCUUGCUAUUGAUGCUGGCGACCGGCGCACGGGUGAGUAACGCGUAUCCAACCUUCCCUAUAGUAGAGGAUAGCCCGGCGAAAGUCGGAUUAAUACUCUAUGUUUUCCAAUGCAGACAUCUAAGUUGGAACAACGGUUUACCGCUAUAGGAUGGGGAUGCGUCUGAUUAGGUUGUUGGCGGGGUAACGGCCCACCAAGCCUACGAUCAGUAGGGGUUCUGAGAGGAAGGUCCCCCACAUUGGAACUGAGACACGGUCCAAACUCCUACGGGAGGCAGCAGUGAGGAAUAUUGGUCAAUGGGCGAGAGCCUGAACCAGCCAAGUAAGCGUGCAGGAUGACGGCCCUAUGGGUUGUAAACUGCUUUUAUACGGGGAUAAAGUGAGGGACGUGUCCCUUUUUGUAGGUACCGUAUGAAUAAGGACCGGCUAAUUCCGUGCCAGCCGCAGC
rnacentral:rRNA from 1 species